ACGGGAGGCAGCAGCUAAGAAUAUUCCGCAAUGGGGGAAACCCCGACGGAGCGACGCCGCGUGGACGAGGAAGGCCGGAAGGUUGUAAAGUCCUUUUCUACGCGAGGAAGAGGCUGGGGAGGCAAUGCCCCGGCGGUGACGGAUACGUAGGAAUAAGCGCCGGCUAAUUACGUGCCAGCAGCCGCGGUAACACGUAAGGCGCGAGCGUUGUUCGGAUUUAUUGGGCGUAAAGGGCGCGUAGGCGGCCUGGAAGGCGGGGCGUGAAAUCACGGGGCCCAACCCCGUGGCCGCGCCCCGAACCGCUGGGCUAGGGUCGCCGAGGGGCAGCAGGAAUUCCAGGUGUAGGGGUGAAAUCUGUAGAUAUCUGGAAGAACACCGAUGGCGGAGGCGUGCUGCCGGCGGAUGACCGACGCUGAGGCGCGAAGGCGCGGGGAGCAAACAGGAUUAGAUACCCUGGUA
rnacentral:rRNA from 1 species